GGACGAACGCUGGCGGCGUGCCUAACACAUGCAAGUCGAGCGGGGUUGAAGCGAGAGGUAACUCGAACUUCUACCUAGCGGCGGACGGGUGAGUAACGCGUGGGCAACCUGCCUCAAGGUUUGGGAUAACAGCCCGAAAGGGCUGCUAAUACCGGAUAUGCCUAUGGCCUCGCAUGGGGCUAUGAGCAAAGGAGAAACCCGCCUUGAGAUGGGCCCGCGUCCCAUCAGCUAGUUGGUGAGGUAACAGCUCACCAAGGCGACGACCGGUAGCUGGUCUGAGAGGAUGGUCAGCCACACUGGGACUGAGACACUGCCCAGACUCCUACGGGAGGCUGCAGUCGAGAAUCUUCCGCAAUGGGCGCAAGCCUGACGGAGCAAUGCCGCGUGAGGGAUGAAGGCCUUCGGGUUGUAAACCUCUGUCGCCCGGGACGAAGAAUGUGACGGUACCGGGAGAGGAAGCUACGGCUAACUACGUGCCAGCAGCCGCGGUAAUACGUAGGUAGCGAGCGUUAUUCGGAUUCACUGGGCGUAAAGGGUCCGCAGGGGGCCUGCCAAGUCGGUUGUGAAAGCUCAAGGCUCAACCUUGAAAUGUCAGCCGAAACUGGCGGGCUUGAGUGCACGAGGGGAAAGUGGAAUUCCUGGUGUAGCGGUGGAAUGCGUAGAUAUCAGGAGGAACACCGGCGGCGAAGGCGGCUUUCUGGCGUGCAACUGACCCUCAGGGACGAAAGUGUGGGUAGCAAACAGGAUUAGAUACCCUGGUAGUCCACACCCUAAACGGUGCACACUCGAUGCGGGACGAACUUUGGUCCGUUCCGUGUCUAAGCUAACGCAUUAAGUGUGCCGCCUGGGAACUACGGCCGCAAGGCUAAAACUCAAAGGAAUUGACGGGGGCCCGCACAAGCGGUGGAGCAUGUGGCUUAAUUCGAGGCAACGCGAAGAACCUUACCCGGGUUUGACAUCCAUGGGACCGGAGGCGAAAGUUUCCUUUCCGCAAGGACCGAUGGACAGGUGCUGCAUGGCUGUCGUCAGCUCGUGUCGUGAGAUGUUCGGUUAAGUCCGGCAACGAGCGCAACCCGUGCCGUCUGUUGCGACCAGGUGAAGCUGAGCACUCUGACGGGACUGCCCGUGUCAAGCGGGAGGAAGGUGCGGAUGACGUCAAGUCAGUAUGGCCCUUACGUCCGGGGCUGCACACGUGCUACAAUGGAUGGUACAGUGGGAUGCGAGGCCGCAAGGCGGAGCCAAUCCCCGAAAACCGUCCCCAGUUCAGAUCGAAGUCUGCAACUCGACUUCGUGAAGCCGGAAUCGCUAGUAAAGGCGUAUCAGCAACGACGCCUUGAAUACGUUCCCGGGCCU
rnacentral:rRNA from 1 species